rnacentral:lncRNA from 1 species
GAGACAUGGCGCCUGAGUAAUAAAUAUAUUCACAGAAAACAUCGCCGAGUCCUUAACGAUCUUGAGAGUGAAAAAUGAGGCUUUAAAACAGCAUUGUGAACAACACAAGAAACAUCAAAAGCUCUAAUAUGGUGGAAUAGAAGGAUCUGUUCAAGCAGUGACCAAUACAAAAAAACACCCUAGAAGUCUUGCCAAGAGCUGCUUACGGGACUGGCUGCGUAUGAGAAAGCUUCCAGACUUCCAGUUAUCUGAGCCGGUGCCCCUGGGAGACACUGGCAAGUUGGUCCCAGUCAUUCACUGCCCUCUUCCUGGCCCACACAUUUUUAGUUCUGAACCUCAAUGGCUCUUUAAGCUGCCAAGCAGAAUGAACCACUGAGUCUUUAAGAACACCACCUAGGGUAAAUGGGCCAAGCCCCAGCUGAUUUGACCCUCUGACUUCCUCCUUGACAUUCUUGCUGACACAUUGCAACCUCAGCUGUAUUUUGUUGACAAUUAGCAGAUGAAGUGUCCUGAAAACCCAAGGUCUGCUUUAUAUAAGUUACAAAAUGCUUACCAAUGACAGUAUUAAUACCAGGCCUUCUUAACAACAUAUUCUUGAUUACAGUAACUUUGCCUCUGAGUCUUACGUGAAAGAAAAAUCUGCAGGUGUUUCUGUGCCACAGUGAGCACGUAUGUCCAUGCGGCAAUACCCUAAGGAAACUCCCUUCUCCGGAAUAUCUCAGUUGACCUUGCUCUGUAUUUCCUUUAAUUAACAUAAAUAGUUGUGACAUUAUUUCUGUGUAUACAUUCUUCCCCCAUCAGAAUUUUAACUCAAGAGUAAAGAGUACAUUUUUAUUUAAUAAGAAUUCAAUAUCAACCAAUUGGGAGGUAAAAAAGUAAGACAUGAUUAAGGCCUAGGAGGAAGAGGAGAUAAUGUGAGAUAUUAGGGAACUGAAAAAGCCAAGUUACAACCUGACAAAACCAGACACUAAGGAGGGGACCAUCUGGGUCACUAGGCUGCUUAAACAACCUGAACCUGAGACACAACACAGUCCACAUACAAACAUUAUCCCACACUGGUGGAGUUCAAUCUUCAAUAUCUUUCCCUCACCCCUACCAUGGCUUACCAUGCUCUCCUUGCCUCCUUUGUUAUCUUUUCUCUGGACUCAUCUAUUAGCCCUUACUGGUUAAUGGUUACCUCUCUGUUCUAAGCUUUACUUCUUGUCUCCUGUUUUCCUCUUUUUCUGUCUUCCCUGGAUAAUCAGAGGAGGAACUGCCAGGCACCAUCUCCUAAAUCAACUUGCUCAUGAGCAGGGGCCAAAUGAGGAUGUGUGGAAAGUGACCAGAGGAAACCUACAGAAUGGAAAGGAGAGACAGGA